rnacentral:rRNA from 1 species
GACGUAGGGACCGAGCGUUGUCCGGAUUUAUUGGGCGUAAAGAGCGUGUAGGCGGCUUGGAAGGUCAGCUGUGAAAACUCGAGGCUCAACCUCGAGACGUCGGUUGAAACCACCUGGCUAGAGUCCGGAAGAGGAGAGUGGAAUUCCCGGUGUAGCGGUGAAAUGCGCAGAUAUCGGGAAGAACACCCGUGGCGAAGGCGGCUCUCUGGGACGGUACUGACGCUGAGACGCGAAAGCGUGGGGAGCGAACAGG